rnacentral:tRNA from 4 species
GUUCUUAUAGUUGAAUGACAACGGUGGUUUUUCAAGCCAUUAGUCCUAGUUAAAGUCUUGGUAGGAAUU